AUCGCAUGGCCUCUGUGCUGGCGAC
rnacentral:siRNA from 1 species